rnacentral:rRNA from 1 species
UACGUAGGGUCCAAGCGUUAUCCGGAAUCACUGGGCGUAAAGCGUGCGUAGGCGGGAGUUUAAGUGAGAGGUUAAAUCGUGUGGCUCAACCAUAUCGAUGCUUCUCAUACUGGACACCUGGAGGACGGCAGAGGCAAGUGGAAUUGGCAGUGUAGCAGUGAAAUGCGUAGAGAUUGCCAGGAACACCAAUGGCGAAGGCAGCUUGCUGGGCCGACCCUGACGCUGAGGCACGAAAGCGUGGGGAGCGAACAGG